GAUGAACGCUGGCGGCGUGCCUAAUACAUGCAAGUCGAGCGAACGGACGAGAAGCUUGCUUCUCUGAUGUUAGCGGCGGACGGGUGAGUAACACGUGGAUAACCUACCUAUAAGACUGGGAUAACUUCGGGAAACCGGAGCUAAUACCGGAUAAUAUUUUGAACCGCAUGGUUCAAAAGUGAAAGACGGUCUUGCUGUCACUUAUAGAUGGAUCCGCGCUGCAUUAGCUAGUUGGUAAGGUAACGGCUUACCAAGGCAACGAUGCAUAGCCGACCUGAGAGCGUGGACGGGCACUGGGGAGGUGACACGCGAUCCAGGGACCUACGGGAGGCAGCAGUAGGGAAGGGUCCGAAAUGGGCGAAAGACUGAAGGAGUAACGGAGGGUGAGUGAAGAAAGGCUUCGGAUCGUAAAACGGUCUUAUUAGGGAAGAACAAAUGUGUAAGUAACUAUGCACGACUUAACGGUACGGAAUAAGAAAGCCACGGCUAACUACGG
rnacentral:rRNA from 1 species